CUGACAAAUAAGUAGAUCCAUGCGUCAGGUGACUCAAGAGCUGGGUUUUUUUGGCCCAAAGGUUAAUCCUAGCUAUCCAGAAGGCUAAUAGCGCCAGCGUAUUGGGUACCUUGCUUCUGGGUGAACAUUUAGCUUUCUUCUGCUACUGAUUUCAAAGGCGAUCUGCAAACCUGCUCAAGAAUACAAGGCCUCGCUCCAGGCGAUGCCCCCAGGAAUCUCCAUCAUGCCCAUUAACAUACCUCUAAGCUCUAACAAUCCAAUCCUAGCAAAUUCGUUAUUUGAAGAUGUGUUAGUUCUAGAUGAAUCCGACACGAAGAAGAGGAUCCAGCGGUACAGAGAUACAGAAG
rnacentral:lncRNA from 1 species